GCCCCGCUAACUCAAUGGUAGAGUAGUUGCCUUUUAAGCAAAAAGUUGGAGGUUCGAGUCCUCCGCGGGGCACCA
rnacentral:tRNA from 2 species